GCGGGCAUAGCAUAGUGGUAAUGCGAUAGGCUUCCACCCUGUUCACUGGAGUUCAAUUCUCCAUGUCCGCU
rnacentral:tRNA from 1 species